GCCGGGCAUGGUGGUGUGCACCUGUAAUCCUAGCUACUCGGGAGGCUGAGGCAGAAGAAUUGCUUGAGCCCAGGAGGCGGAGGUUGCAGUGAGCUGAGAUCGUGCCACUGCACUCCAGCCUGGGCAACAGAGUGAGACUCUGUCUCCA
ensembl:misc_RNA Metazoa_SRP Metazoan signal recognition particle RNA